rnacentral:rRNA from 1 species
CCUACGGGUGGCAGCAGUAGGGAAUUUUCGGCAAUGGGGGGAACCCUGACCGAGCAACGCCGCGUGAACGAAGAAGUUAUUCGUAAUGUAAAGUUCUUUUAACAGGGAAGAAAGAGAAAUUUGACGGUACCUGAAGAAUAAGCUCCGGCAAAUUACGUGACAGCAGCCGCGGUAAUAUGUAGGGAGCGAGCGUUAUCCAGAAUUAUUGGGCGAAAAGGGUGCGUAGAUGGCAUAGUAAGUCUUUUGCAAAAAUGCUGGGCACAACCCAGGAGGGCAAAAGAUACGGCAAAGAGAGAGUAUGAAAAAGGCAAGUGGAACUACAGGUGUAGCGGUAAAAGGGGUAAAUAUAGGUAAGAACACCAGUGGCGAGGGCGGCUUGCUGGGUCGAUACUGACAUUGGGGCACGAAAGCGUGGGGAGCAAACAGGAUUAGAUACCGUGUAGUC